rnacentral:rRNA from 1 species
CAGCAGCCGCGGGAAUACGGAGGGUGCAAGCGUUAAUCGGAAUUACUGGGCGUAAAGCGUGCGUAGGCGGUUCGUUAAGUCUGUUGUGAAAGCCCCGGGCUCAACCUGGGAAUGGCAAUGGAUACUGGCGAGCUAGAGUGUGUCAGAGGAUGGUGGAAUUCCCGGUGUAGCGGUGAAAUGCGUAGAGAUCGGGAGGAACAUCAGUGGCGAAGGCGGCCAUCUGGGACAACACUGACGCUGAGGCACGAAAGCGUGGGGAGCAAACAGGAUUAGAGACCCGGGUAGUCCCUGUCUCUUAUAC